GACGUUCAUCAUCAUACGUCGUUAGUCUGUUGGAUCCUCGCUUUAGCUCAUUCGGCCCUUCAUCACCCAAAUUGCUAGGUAUAUCUUUCCUGCCAUUUAUUCAUUGUAUGUAUCAUACCAGAGUGUUAGUAAACUGUCUGUGUGUUAUCCAAAUGCCGUAUUCCUGAAUCUUAUUUUGAGUUUGGCAGAUAGCCAGGGACAUCGGGUCCAUCACCAGCGUUAACACCUUUCUUCACCCCUUUCCCUUGGUCUAUCUUGCCUCACAUGGCGCAGUCGACAGGAUACGGCAAGUGAUUCUUCAGACUUCAAGCACUUAUGGACGACUUAUUUCAUGCUUAUGGACGUAGUUCGAAAGGCUUGUUCGAUUUAGGCUUAGCCUCGUCAUUGGAACGCAUUGCAUUGCAACAGUUCUAUAUCCCUUCGUAAUUUCUAGUUCACUUUUUGUCACGCAUUAAUUGCGUCUUCAGUUUUUUCGUUGCAUUUGUGCACGACAGAUAUCGUCUUUUGAGUUUGUUCUUUCAUGGAAAGUCCAAAGGUAUUGAGACUUCUUUUGCGUCCAGCACAAGAGUUGUUUGAACACUCCCAGAGAACGCUGAUCGUCGUCAAGCAGCAAUUCUCAUCAUGGAAGACGACGAAAGGAGGAAACAUGCAUCUACGAGUGCUAUUCCCACCAAAGACGACAACGAGGAAUACCAAACAUCGGAGGAAUACGAAGAUGAACAUCAGGAUGAACAAGUCUCAUCAACAAACAAGUCUAGAGAGCGAGGCAACGACGACCAGUCUCACUUCCUACUGCAUGUCUACUGGAUGUGACUGUCUCACUCUGAUCAAGCUGGCACGACAGAUCGAACCUGCUCAGAAACACCGUGAUCCAAACUGGCGUCAACAAGGAGCCAAGCCAAAGGACUACACGAAGAGGAACAUCAACGUCAGCAAGGCUUUUCGUCCACAUCACAGCCUAAGUAUUCAUCUCGGCAAAAUGGUGAGAAACAUUCUCCUACUUCCACCAAAACAUCGGACAAAUCAAGACCCAAAGGACUACACCAAACAUCAAGACAAAGACAAGAAACACAGCUACACUGCUUCAAUAAGACACGACUUACCAUCUAGACACCCCGUGAGACCAGUCCAGAGAGAUUCUUGUAAACAACACACCGGUCGACGCCCUGGUUGACACGGGUUCAGACUUCUAUCUUAAGAAAACAGGAAGCAGAGCUUUGGGGUAUUAACAUAAAACCAUGGAGUGACUCAGCAAUUAUCGCCGUCGAUAACGAGUUCAUGCCGUUCAGCGAAGCCGUCGUGGAAGUGAAGUUAGCGAACACAACUGUUGCUAUCGUCACUAACAUCAUAUCCUUUCAUACUUGGUAGCGACUGGCGCACAUCUGCCAAGCUUGGAAUCACCGUUUGGCCUAAUGGACACAUCUCCAUCCAGUCACCUCCAAAGUCAAACCAGGAGAAAAUCUUCAACAGCAUGUUCCUAAAGAAAGACUCUCUCCAGGAACUUUCUGAAACUACUCCAUCACACGCUGGAGAAUUUCAACCCAUACAGAAACGGAUCUUCUACAACACGACAUCCAAGGAUCAAGACACUUCGACAGACAUCAAAACUCAUCACAUCCUUCACACUUCCACGUGCAAGUAAAUAACAAGCCUCGACAUCAACGUGUUCAUCAACACAACGCAAAUCUCCACUAAGGAACUGUCCUUUCCCACUUCUUCCUGGCACCAACAUCGUGGCACCCCAGGACGGCCCCAACAUCGUGGCAUCCCAGGACAAGGUGAAGAUACCAUCUCAUCAAGCAACAUCAGCCUCCGCAAGAACAAGUUCGUCAACAAGUACAAGAACAGUUUUCCGGCGAACAACAGUGUUCGUGAACGUGUUAGUGAAUUCCGCAAUGUUGUCGACCUUCAUAGAACACAGCCAUCACAGGUAUGUGAAAAUGUCAUGUUGCAUAACUACGAAAAGGAUGAGUCAUCUGACCUCUUGCUUGUGAAUAUCGUACAAGUCUAUGACAUCAUUCCUUUGGAUAGGGUUGUUGUACGAGAGACAGAUGCAAAAACUGCAGUACAGCAUGCUGAAAUCUUGGACGAAGACAAAGUAACCUCAGACAUAAAUGACCCACAGCUUAAGAAACUCCAUGAUAAUAUUCUUAAGCACGCGAACGUGUUUUCUAAGCAAAAGUAUGUCAUCGGAUUUUGUCCAAAGACCGAACAUUGCACUGAUCUCUCUGACAGCAUUCCUGUUCGUAUAAAGUCGCUACUCAUGGAAUGACAGAAAAUUCAUCAAAAGAGAUCAACAACUGGCUUAAAUUAGGUCUUGUUCGAAAAAGUCUCAUUACGCCUCCCCAGUUUUCGUUGAUCAACCACUUCAUCCACCACCACGUAGACUUGUUGUUGACUACCGCAAGCUAAAUGGGAAAACCGUCAAAAGAGUGUAUAGUAUGCCUCGAAUUGAUGCUGACAGAUGUUGACAGAGUAGGGAAAGGCAAGUACUUCAAACAUCUAAAUAAUCAAACUUCUAAACAUCAAAAUAAGGGAAUCUGACGAACAUAAGACAGCUUUCAUUACACCUGACGGUCUUUACGAAUUCGUUCGAAUGCCUUUUGGUCCAACUGGUGCUCCCGCCACUUGGCAAGCAGUAAUGGAUGAAGCAUUUCAUUCCCUCAAGUGGAAGGACGUUGUAAUUGUCUAUUUCGAUGACAUCUGUAUCUAUCUGUAUCUGUAUCUGUACUUCCACCAUAGACGAACAUCUCGACGUUCUUGACCAAUCUAUGUCCAUACUGGAAAAUUAUGGUUUCAAAAUCGAGAUCAAUAAGUGUCAGUUCAUUCAGACCCAUAUAAAGUUUCUGGGUUACAUUGUAUCUCAUGAGGGUAAACUGCCAGAUCCGGAGAGGUCAGCUGCUGUUGACAAAUACCCCGAUACACAAUACAAUACCCCGAUACACAAUACAAGACAAGAUUUUUGGGCUUUGCUUCUUACUUUCUUACUUGCUUCUUCUUUCGCUUCUUUCUUCUUUGCUUCUUACUUUCGCAAAUUCAUCAAAGGUGCUGAAAUUGCGCGACCUCUAUCACUCUCUUGCGAAACAAGCAACAGUCCAAAAGCACUGGCAAAUCGAGAGUGGACACCUACACACACUGAGGCUGUACGUAACCUCAAAUCUCUAUUUUCAAACACCUAUUUUGGCUCAUUUUGAUCCAGACAAAGAAACUCAUGUCGAGCGUUCAUCUCACAGAAACACGAUGGAAGAGUACGUUGUUGAGUAUGCCAGCAGAGCAACCAACACAACAGAGGAAAAACUGCAUUCAAACAUGCUCGAAUGCAUUGCUCUUCAUUGGGCACAGUCCAUGUUUGGACAGACAACUACAGUGUCUCCUUAAUGACCAAUGCACAGCAAAUCAAUAGAAAAUUUGCUCGCAUGGUUCUCGAUCUGAAGAUACACCAUCGUUCGGGAAAAACCAAUGUUGUCGCUGAUGCUCUAUCACGCAUCCCACAACCUUUGGUUGCGUCACUAAUUCUCACUGCCGAGAAUUCUCAUCUCUCCAAUCACCAACAGUCAGAUCCGUCGUUAUUAGAUUUUUGAAGUCCUCAAAAAUCCUAAUAUUUCUUCUCGCAAAGCUGAGAAUAUGCGGAAUACAUUCAUGUUGUCGAAUGGCAUACUCUGCCACAAAACCACUCAACAAAACGGACUGACAAAAACAAGGAUUGUCAUACCAGAAUCUCUUAGGAAAGAUUGCUGUUUCAUGAAAGUUUCACGAUAAACGUGGUCACGUGGACAAAUUCAAGACCAAAAGCAGUAUUCUGAGUAAAUACUGGUCGUCCAUUAAUAAGGACGUCAAAGAGUACGUCCAGGGUUGUAACAUUUGUCAGCGCUUCAACAGACAAACAUCGAAGCCCGUGCGAUACUUACAUCCUCGACCAAUUCCCACACAACCUUUCACCACUAUCCCCCGAUCACAUUGGUCCACUUCCGGAAACAGGAAAUGGAAACAAGUACAUCAUUGCAUGUGUUGACCACACUACACGCUUUGUAGUAACACAGGCUGUGAUAUCAACAGCAUCGUCACACAUCAUUAAGGAAAAGAUCAACAGAACUUUUGGUAUUCCUAUGACAAUUGUUUCUGACCAAGGUUCAGGUUUCAUGAGUCAGAACAUGGAAAAACCACAACAGGAAUUGAACACACAACUUCUUGUCCUUAUUUCCAUCAGGCAAAUGGUCUCGUGGAAAGAUCUGUAGCAACCAUAAAGAAUAUUAUCAAAAAAAUAUUGCUUUGAGAAUCCUUCAAAAUGGGACCAAUACUUUGCAAACACCACUUCUACUAGAUUCUACUAGAUUUUCACCACAUUUCGUUCUCUUUGGAUUUGAACCUCGUAUUGAAAACGAGAUUCAGGUUGGUGUAACCCUUGACGACAUAUCACGACCUCGAGUAUUGAAAUGCUACAUGACAUACGUGCAGCAGCACGCGAAAACCUAGCAAAAGCUCUAUCCUCUCACGUUACGACUACGGUCGAAACCCAUCUCGGUUCUCUGUGGAUGACUUAGUUUGGAUAGAAUCCUUUUCAACUUCACCUUUUGAUCCUAAGUACAAGGACAAGGCAUUCAAAGUUAUUUCUACUCAUCCCCAUGACAUUUGUACUGUAGUCUGGAUAAAGAAAUAACAAAAAAACAGUUCAUGUUUCACAAAUGAAACUGUUCAAGGAUCAGCCAGAUUGGGAUCCUAACAUAGACAGUGACAUAGAUAUAGACAGUGACGAGAAUGUCUCUGUUGAUCAAGACAGUUCACGAAGAAACAUAGUCCACCUUACACGACAAGGUAUGGACGCGUCACCAAAAGGGUACCAUGCGUACGACCUCGUUUGACUGGGACGCCUUGGUGAAUGUCGUUCAUUCAUGGACAGGGGACGCUCUGGUCCAUAAAUGACUUUGUACUACGUUGCUUUAAAUGUGUCCAGUGUCUGCAAUAUGAAUUUUUGCGGUUAUUUUUCCUUUGCUUUUCACUUUGGGUUACUUCCACAUUUCUGUUACUCGCGCACACAGCCACACUCAAACACACGCUUACAUAGUUGCUGUUUAGCAUUUCCCUUCUACUGACCUCUUCAGAUCAAGUUUCGAAUUUAGUCACUUCUUCGCACUAGUUCUCUUCAUUUUCGUAUCACUGCAUGUACUGUGUAUGUACUGCAUGUCACAAUGCUAUUCAUGCUAUGCUGUGCUAUGUCAUGUACUACGAACUUUCUACUUCAAUGUUAACAAAUCCACAAUGUGUUUAGAAUCAGGAGAUUCUACUACUUCCUUUGAGGGUGGAUUAUUAAACUCUCUUAAAUCUA